UUGAUCUGUUGACUUUCUGCUUUGUUGGUGGCUGAGCGAUCUUAAUAUAGAUCCCUGUGUUUCGUUAUUCUCUUCUUCUCUAUUUGAUUCUUUGGGAUUUGCUUGCGUUUUGCUUAUCUAAAAAUAGAUCGAUAUUGUAUGCCCUUCUUUUUCCUUAUUUUUUUUUGUAUCUAACGGUGAUUAUUAUUUUUGUUAGGUGCUGUUUAUUUGGGUUUAGGUUAUCUGAGUAGCUGGUUGUUUCUUUUGGCACAAUGUCGAAAGAUUUGGAGUCACACGCCAGGAUGUGAAUGCUGACCCGAUGUAUACAUUGGGAAAGCCCAAACUGAUGAUAUCUAUAGCUUCUGUUAAAUUCUCUAGCAUGAGAGAAUUCUGGUGAUAAGAAGUUUUGAUGGUUCUCUAAAGGUCUGGGACUUGGGUCAGAUGAAAGAAACUCUAAAGGUGUUUGAGGGUCUCUUUAAUAAGACAGUACAAUGGCAGACUUGCUCGAGAUUGUUUAAAAAAGUCAGAAUAUUUCCUGCUUCAGGGUGCAAUGUGAUUGGCACUCGAGGUUGAAUCAGAUAAACAACAACAAUAAUAUAAACAAUAUUUUCUUCUUCUAAAAUCUAAU